CAGCUGGUUAGAAUACAUGCCUGUCACGCAUGGGGUCGCGGGUUCGAGUCCCGUCCAGACCG
rnacentral:tRNA from 1 species